AGACAGAGGUGGCAAGCGUUGUUCGGAUUUACUGGGCUUAAAGGGCGUGUAGGCGUCCCGAUCAGUCAGAUGUGGAAGCUCUGGGCUCAACCCAGGAAUUGCAUUUGAUACUGUCGGGAUUGAGUCGUGCAUGGGAGGGCGGAAUUCCUGGUGUAGCGGUGAAAUGCGUAGAUAUCAGGAGGAAGGCCGGUGGCGAAGGUGGCCCUCUGGGCAAUGACUGACGCUGAGGCGCGAAAGCGUGGGGAGCAAACAGGAUUAGAAACCCCGGUAGUCC
rnacentral:rRNA from 1 species